AGAGAUUUAGUUUAGUGGUAAAACAGCUGUUAUUACAGAAAGCGCAGGUUCGAUUCCUGCAAUCUUUA
rnacentral:tRNA from 1 species